rnacentral:rRNA from 1 species
UACAGAGGUCUCAAGCGUUGUUCGGAUUCAUUGGGCGUAAAGGGCGCGUAGGCUGCGGGGCAAGUCGGGUGUGAAAUCUCAGAGCUCAACUCUGAAACUGCACUCGAUACUGCUUUGCUUGAGGACUGGAGAGGAGAUUGGAAUUCACGGUGUAGCAGUGAAAUGCGUAGAUAUCGUGAGGAAGACCAGGGGCGAAGGCGGAGCCCUGGACAGUUCCUGACGCUGAGGCGCGAAGGCCAGGGGAGCAAACGGG